rnacentral:rRNA from 1 species
UACGAAGGGGGCUAGCGUUGUUCGGAAUUACUGGGCGUAAAGCGUGCGCAGGCGGCUUCUCACGUCAGGGGUGAAAGCCCAGAGCUCAACUCUGGAAUUGCCUUUGAGACUGAGUGGCUUGAGUACGAGAGAGGUGAGUGGAAUUCCCAGUGUAGAGGUGAAAUUCGUAGAUAUUGGGAAGAACACCGGUGGCGAAGGCGGCUCACUGGCUCGUAACUGACGCUCAUGCACGACAGCGUGGGGAUCAAACAGG